rnacentral:tmRNA from 1 species
GGGGUAGUAAAGGUUUCGACAGGGGUUUUGAAGCUGGUGAAGCUAUUCGCAGGGGAUGCGUUAAAUUCCAAACUUAAAAAUAAACGCUAACGAAAAUUUAGCUGUAGCAGCCUAGUUCUGCUUCUGUCUUCUCCAGUGCACCCGCACAUUGGAAUCAAGGCAUCGACUUUGCGGGAAACGACUUUAGCAAAGCUUUGAGCUAAUGGGCGUAUCAUGAAGCUACUGAAAGUACAGGGGUGUUGACUUCCCUGUGCCAGAGGGAAUGUGUGGAAACACAAAAUAAUCAACUAUAAUAGUAGAAGAACAGUGAAUGGGCUUUUGGACACGGGUUCGACUCCCGUCUACUCCAUAU